CCUACGGGCGGCUGCAGUAAGGAAUAUUGGACAAUGCCCGCAAGGGUGAUCCAGCCAUGCCGCGUGCAGGAAGACGGACCUAUGGUUUGUAAACUGCUUUUGAACAAGAGAAAACCCCCUUACGUGUAAGGGGCUGAUAGUAUUGUUAGAAUAAGCAUCGGCUAACUUCGUGCCAGCAGCCGCGGUAAGACGAAGGAUGCAAGCGUCAUCCGGAUUCAUUGGGGUGUAGGGGAGCGUAGGAGUCUGGGGUGAAAUCUUCUCGCUUAACGAGAAAACGGCCAUUGAUACUGUCAAGCUUGAGUACAGUUGCCGUUGGCGGAAUAUGACAUGUAGUGGUGAAAUACAUAGAGAUGUCAUAGAACACCGAUUGCGAAGGCAGCUAACGAAACUGUAACUGACGCUGAGGCUCGAAAGUGCGGGGACCAAACAGGAUUAGAUACCCCGGUAGUC
rnacentral:rRNA from 1 species